rnacentral:lncRNA from 1 species
CCAUAUACCAUGGCCUUAAUCAUCAUUUUUGUAUAAGUCCUUAGUAGUUUAUCUCAGCAGUCAGCUCCGGCCUACGCAUCCUCUACGUAGGGGACCGAUGCAAAUAAGUGAAUGAUCCAGAAAAACAAAAAAAUAAAAUAAAGCAAAAAGGCAACUCCGAUAUAGGUGACCCUCACAAAGUCGUUUAAACCAAAGGAUUAUAAAAAUUGCUACAAAAAGAAAAAGAAAAAGAAAAAGAAAAGCAGUACCCACUGCUAGUUGGUUCAGAGGUAUCUGGCACUGAACUCGGUAGGGCGGAUU